UGCCUCAGCCCCCCCAAAUAGCUGGGGCUACAGGUGCAUGCCACCACGUCUGGCUAAUUUUUGUAUUUUUAGUAGAGACAGGGUUUUACCACAUUGGCCGGGCUAGUCUUGAACUCCUGACCUCAUGCUCCAGCCACCGUGACCCCGAAAGUGCUAGGAUUACAGGUGUGAGUCACCGCACUAGCCUAAAACUAUAUUUUAAAUAACUGAAUAAAUAAUUUAAAAAUGGUAAAAAGCAGCAAACCUUAUACAAUAUAUUUAAAUAAUGUUACUUAAUAUUUUUGAUAAUCUAUUUUUAUAUAAUUUAUAUAACUGAUAAAUUAUGACAUUUACUCUUCACAGUCACAAUAGGUAUCAUUAUUGUCAUCACUGGAGAAGGAAGGAAACUGACAGUUGAAGAGACUAAGUUACUAUAGCCGAUGAGUUAACGUUUUCACUGGACCGAUUGGACUGAAAUGGCAAGACUGAAUGAGGUUGUGGCAUUUGAGACUCCAGUAAGAUUCAACGUAUCGGCACUUAAUUUAACAGACCUUUCUGAUGAAGUCCAAUGUGUAUGUGCUUCGUGAAAUACAGUUUGAAAAUGAAAGCUGAAUACAAUGUAGAGAGAUAAUUAAACAUAAAAAUUUAUGAAGCAAUUUCAUUAUUUAUGGAUACUACAUAAUUUUUUACAACUUAAAUAGAUAUAACUGUUAUCUUCCUUAUUCCUCUUCAUGGGAGAAUGUUAAUGUGAUUGUAACAUAAAAUCUCAGAAGAGUAUUUCUUUUUUGAUGUCUUAUUUUAUUGAUCUCUACUUUAAGAUAAUUUCAUGACAUUUUCUUCUUUGGGAAAUGACCCAUGAGGAAUGAACAUAAUUGCUACACUUUAUGUAUUUAUUGUCUGACUUCAUCCCACAUUUUCAUUAAUUCAAAUGUAUCUAUCCUUCUAUAGAUAACUCAUUGUGGAAAGCACUAACCUGUAUGGAACUCGGGCUUUGAAUUCAGUGACAGUCUUAACAUUGCCAUUUACUAACUACGUGAUCUCAAACAAGCCAUUGGGCAUCUGCGUUUUUCAAUUAGUUAAAUAAAUAAGCCUGACAAUGCAAUGUUCUUUUGAGGAAUAAAUGAGAUUAUAUCAGCAAAUAGUAGGUUCAGAGUAAGUGCUCACCCCAUCACAAACUAGUGUAUAUAUGCUCUGAUCAUUUUCAUAACUCUUGGCUGAGCAAUUAGUUCUUAGACUCCACUGAUUCUGUUUACUUUGCUCAUGUUAAAAAUCAUUUAAGUAAGAAGAAUAAAAAGGAAUGCUUAUAACAGUGUGAAAGGGUCAAACAAGGUUAACAUGAAAUCAGAAUAGAACAAGGUCUAAGCGUUUCUAAAGUGUCCUUAUUCAGUCACUAAUACAUAAAUUAAGUACUCAUGAUGGGCCAGGAUAAUGCUAAUAAGAAUUAAGUUUUCAAAAAUGUCUAUUGAUAGUCACUGCCGAUACACAGUUUCAUCUUUGAUGAUUCUCAGUUAAAAUUCUACUGUUGGUUUUCAGUUUGGUUUUACAAAUGCUUAUUCAAUACCACUUAAGUACAGGGUAUGGUUCUAGAGCCGGGCACUCAUUCCUGAUGUCUAUG
ensembl:lncRNA